ensembl:snRNA U6 U6 spliceosomal RNA
GUGCUCACUUUGGCAGCACAUAUACUAAAAUUGGAACGAUACAGAAAAGAUUAGAAUGGCCCCUGUACAAGGAUGACAUGCAAAUUCAUGAAGCAUUCCAUAUUUUU